AUAUAAAUGGAAGGAACAGGAAGCAAGAGGAAGCUCAGAAGGAGAGAUUAGGCUGAGGACUGAAGGGUAACUGCCUUUUGCUGUAUGCUGUUGUACCUUUUAAGGAAGGACUAAAUACGCAUGUGGUGAAAAGGAAGGCACGUGAAGUACUACAACUUUCAAGCACCGGAAAGGACAUCUAGUGAAUGAAGGAUUCAAUCCAGAAGUUAGAUUUUUUUUUUAAUUUCUUGGAUGGGAUAUAUUGCUUUGAGAAAAGAUCUGCAAAAAGGUGGCUUCUGGUCAAAUAUGGCUGUAAGUGGUACAUCCAUGACAUUCUGAAUGUUGCAGAAAGGGCAGCUUCAUGUUGCUUCCAGAAUUCAAGAGGGAUAAUUUCAUAUUGCCAGUGUUAAAACUCUACACAGCUAACAUCAGAAAAGUAUAAAAAGAAUGGUCUAAACAUACUGAACUGGUGUUAAAUAAUGCAAUUCUGGCAGAAGCCAGAUAUUCUGCAAAUGUAACUGGUAUUUUAUGUGAUGAACAAGUUACUGUGUUUUCUAUUAGAAACAUUCUUUAAAUGAAAAGAAUCUUCAUAUUGUAUAUCUGAGAGCAACAAAAGUAUGACUGGAAGACCUUGGUCAUGGAACAGAAGACAGAUAAUUAGAAAAGAUGAACGAGAAUGUGUUUCUUUAGGAAUUGUCCUUAUAAACAUCAAAUGAGUGAUGUAAAGUCUGAUGUAUUUCUCUGGCUGCUUGAGCUUUUGAGACAAAGAAAAAAAAUAAUCAAGACAAUUCAAUCCUGCAUCAACCCAGCCCUGGACAGAAGCCAGCUGGAAUGGCUGUGCAAGACCAUACUCCAUCUACAAAAGCUAUUCAUUUAUUCACUGUUCUGUUUAUCAUCCAGAAACAAAUAGGUGUAAACUCACAUAUGUUUAUUUUAAUAAGUCACUGUGAACACUAUUACAAGACAGAAUGAAUGUUACAAGACUAGAAAAGAAUGUUUGAAAAUAAGUUAAAUUGUUUCAUUACAAUCAACUUUCAGGAGGAACAGUAAGAUUUGGUACAUUUCUAGUGUUGCCACCAUGGUUUUCCAGUUUCAUGCAGAUAUAUUUCAAGGCCUAUGGACAAAAAACUCCACACUUAUAAGUUAGGCUACUGUAGUGUAACUUUUUAUAUUUUGUAAGUGUGGCAAAAGCUUCUGAUGAAGUGUUUGCAGGUACCAUUUCAAAUGUUAUUGUACUAGAUGCUUUUUAUGCAGAAUAUUACAUAUUAAAACAUGCAGAAGGCAAUUAGCGAAAUCAA